rnacentral:rRNA from 1 species
GAUGAACGCUGGCGGCGUGCCUAAUACAUGCAAGUCGAGCGAACAGACGAGGAGUUUGCGCCUCUGACGUUAGCGGCGGACGGGUGAGUAACACGUGGAUAACCUACCUAUAAGACUGGGAUAACAUCGGGAAACCGGAGCUAAUACCGGAAAAUAUAUUGAACCGCAUGGUGCAAUAGUGAAAGACGGUUUUGCUGUCACUUAUAGAUGGACCCGCGCCGCAUUAGCUAGUUGGUAAGGGAACGGCUUACCAAGGCAGCGAUGCGGAGCCGACCCGAGAGGGUGGUCGGCCACACUGGAUCUGAGACACGGCCCCCACUCCUACGGGAGGACGCGGUCGGGACUCCUCCGCGAUGGAGGAGUGCCUGACGGAGCAAAGCGGCGUAAAUGCUGACGGUCUCCUGCUCGUAGAACUCUGUUAUUAGGAAAGAACAAAUAUGUAAGUAACUAUGCACGUAUUGACGGUACCUAAUCAGAAAGCCCCGGCUAACUACGUG